rnacentral:rRNA from 1 species
AGUGUAGGCGGCUUCGUAAGUCGGAUGUGAAAGCCCCGGGCUUAACCUGGGAAUGGCAUUCGAUACUGCGCGGCUAGAGUCUGAUAGAGGGAAGUGGAAUUCCAGGUGUAGCGGUGAAAUGCGUAGAGAUCUGGAGGAACACCAGUGGCGAAGGCGGCUUCCUGGAUCAAGACUGACGCUGGGGCUCGAAAGCGUGGGGAGCAAACA